rnacentral:rRNA from 1 species
AACGAACGCUGGCGGCAUGCCUAACACAUGCAAGUCGAACGAGACCUUCGGGUCUAGUGGCGCACGGGUGCGUAACGCGUGGGAACCUGCCCUUAGGUUCGGAAUAACUCCCCGAAAGGUGUGCUAAUACCGGAUAAUGUCUUCGGACCAAAGAUUUAUCGCCUUUGGAUGGGCCCGCGUUGGAUUAGCUAGUUGGUAGGGUAAAAGCCUACCAAGGCGACGAUCCAUAGCUGGUCUGAGAGGAUGAUCAGCCACACUGGGGCUGAGACACGGCCCAGACUCCUACGGGAGGGAGCAGUGGGGAAUAUUGGACAAUGGGCGAAAGCCUGAUCCAGCAAUGCCGCGUGAGUGAUGAAGGCCUUAGGGUUGUAAAGCUCUUUUACCCGGGAUGAUAAUGACAGUACCGGGAGAAUAAGCUCCGGCUAACUCCGUG